rnacentral:lncRNA from 1 species
UUGGCUUUACUUUGAGUUAAGAUUCUCAAAUCCCAUUCCCUGGAAUCUUUCCAACUUUUGUUUCCUUUCCGAAGGGAAUACCAUUCCGUGGUCAUUUCCUUCUUUAAAUCCUUGUCAGAUGUGGUCCAAUAAGCAACUGGCACGGGCAAGUAUUUUUCACUAAUGAUUGACCGACCGACCGACCGACCAGCCAAUCCAAAUGAUACUACUAAAAUGCGAUUUGUUGUUCCUUUCAUCUGGUUCUGAAAACAAAACAAAAUUAAAACAAUACAACCUACGUUUCCAUAUAUUGAAAAUCACACAACAUUUGGUUAAAGCUAAAUACUCCCCUUUUAGCAUAUAAAUGAAUAAAUGCCCACACACAAAUACAAGAGAAAGUGAAUUGCAGUCAAGACUUGAUGGAAGCAUUAAAAAGAUAACUACUUAAUACGGCGUGAUAGUAAAGUCCCGCAUCGAAAUACAAGGAGAAAGAUUGAAUUGAGGAUAUAUAUGCUCUAAUGGACCAUACACCUAAUGGGUUAACCUUCUCGGUCAAGAUGCAGUUUCAGAUGAGCAUAUAUGGAUCGAAUAUUCCCAACGUUAAAUUGUUGGAAAGAUAAGACGUGAACUAAAAAUUGUAGCAACAUGUAACUCUACUUAUGGUUUGGCUAUAAUGCAAUGAAAACAUGAUUUGUUGCAUAAAUUUAACAGGAGCUAUAAGAUUGAAGAAUAUGGGAUAUAGACUAUAACAGGAGCUAUUUUACAGCACACAUUGUAAUCCUAUCCAUUUCAAAUGAAAUGGAGAGUCUCCAUUCUUUGUAUAUUCAUUUCCCAUUAUCAUCUCUUUCUCCCGUGAUUAUUCCCCUUACUGGAAUUUAUUCCUAUCCACAUGCCAGCAAACUAUUAAGGAAUUUCUUUAACGUACACUUUACCUAAAGCCUCCCACAUAUUCCCAAAACUACAUAAAAUAUAUAUCCUGAUAUAUCAGAACAAAUUGAUCUAUCUAAAAACAUUAGUUGUAAGUUGAAAUUAGUUAGGUGAUGAUACUUUAUUCAAGGCACAUAAUUAAAUUCAUAAUGUUCACACUAAAAUGUAUACAGCUAAAAUCGCAUACAGAAAAAGAUAAGGGAGAUGAAAGAACAAAUUAAAGUUGUCGUAUAGCUUCUUUUGUAAUCUUGAAAUGCUUGUUGUACACGCUAAAAAAACACUCCUUAAAAUGGCAUCGGAAAUCAGAUUUCUUAUUUGUUCAAAGUUGCAUUUUCAGAAUGCACGAGUAAUCCUUUAACAUGUAGAAACAGUCUCUAAUUACAAAUUAUUGUGAAGUAAGAAUUAUGCAUGUUCAUGCAAACUUGUAUAAUCAUGUACAUCAUAUCAGCUAUUUUGACUAUUUGUAUGUCAUACAGAGGCAUGCAUAACUAUUAACAAGCUAUCUUUAAUCCACUAUUAAAAGAAUUAAGACAACAAGAAGGAUGUGUAGAUUCAUACCAGAGAAUCUGCAAAGCCAACCGAGGCUCAAGUCAAGGGAAACGCAAGUGGUCCUCCCCAAUCCACUAAGUGUCAUACUUUCCAUGAAAUGCAAGUAUGGAGCAAGUACAAUCCAUCUUUUUCCUGCUGUAAGGGUCCAAUCAGCUUCAACAUGAGGCUGGCUUCCUUAUACCAAUUGAAGAAUAGAAAAUAUUUAAUUGGGGCACUCUUUUAAUCAAUCUAAAUACUGUCUAGUCUAAAUAAGUACCAAACUUAUGGAAGGAGACAAAAAUGAAUGUAUUCCUUAUUCCAUUAUUGGCCCUUCAGACAAUUCUACGGAGGGGCAUCUUUCAUUUUUUUAAUCUCUCUCUUGUAUGUACGCAAUUCCAAGUUCUAGAUGUUCCAGCCUACAGAAUCUUCUUCUACAUUCUCCAAGUUAAACCAGUGGAAAUUUUCUUGUCUUUUCAGUCUGUCUACACCUUUUAAUUAAGAUGACUUAAAAACUGAUCUAUAUUUGCAAAGCAAAUGAGUCUUUGAAAGGUACAUCGACAAGAAAAAAUAACUGCGAGUCCAAUUAAGGAUCAAUGUAAUAGGUUUUUUAAGAAUCAUCUAUGGGAAGAGAAGAUGGCUUGAAGGUAUUAAGACAACUGAGAUAGUGGAUUCCCCAAAUACGGGUCAGAAAAUUUUACUCUUAAAUUCGAGAAUAAGAUUCCCUCACUUUAAUAUGAAUGCACAGAAAAGUAUGCCAAGUGUUGCAGGAAGUUAUAUAAUUUAGAUUGAUAGAGCUGGUUGAGAACGGAAAAUGGAGUUAUGGGAUAGGUCCCACAGAUUCUCAGAACUGUAAGGACAAGAUCUCUUUCUGAAUUGCUGUGAAGAUUGGAUUGGGUCUGCCCAAGAUUCUAUGCCUCAGUAAGACUCCAUCUCCCAUCCCCCACAGUCCUUUUUCCAUUUGCCUUAUAAGGUGUGCUUGAGCACACCCCUGGUUUGUGAGACUUGGUAAGAUAAGAGAGGAGAUAGAUGAGAGCUGUAGAAGACAGCUUUUUUACCAAGUAUCAGAACUAAUCAAGAGACGUGACAACUUGCAGGUAAAACCAUAACUAUUCAUUCGUAGGAUCAUAUUAUUGUGCUACAACCAUGAAGCUAAUCAUAAGGCAAUUAUUUUGAAGACAAAAUGUAUCAUCAUCAACAUCAUCAAGCAAAUAAUAUCCAACCUUCCUCAAGAAUGCCAAUGACUCCAGAAAGAGUUCUAUUCCUACAAGGUGGGAAUGCUGCAGGAGAUUCUGG